rnacentral:rRNA from 1 species
GUACAUAGCAAUACGUAUUGUAAAGUGGCGCACGGGUGAGUAACACGUGGGUAAUCUGCCCUCGAGCUUGGGAUAACCCCGCGAACGCGGGGCUAAUACCGGAUAAGACCACGGAGACCAAAGUCUCUGAGGUAAAAGGUGGCCUCUAUUUAUAAGCUACCACUUGAGGAUGAGCCGGCGGCCCAUUAGCUAGUUGGCAGGGUAACGGCCUACCAAGGAAAUGAUGGGUAGGUGGGAUGAGAGGACGAUCAGCCACACUAGAACGGAGACACGGUCCAGACUCCUACGGGAGGCAGCAGGGGGGAAUAUUGGACAAUGGGGGAAAGCCUGAUCCAGCAAUGCGGCGUGAGUGAUGAAGGCCUUAGGGUUGUAAAGCUCUUUUACCCGGGAUGAUAAUGACAGUACCGGGAGAAUAAGCCCCGGCUAACUCCGUGCCAGCAGCCGCAGUAAGAC